UUUUGCAGCUCUUGAAAUCCGCUCAGAUGCAGCAUGGAUUGCGGUUUGGCGAUUACGCUCGUUACCGGAGGUACUGUACUGCUCGGCUCAGGAGAUUGUACAAGUCGUUGAAAUUCACGCAUGGCCGUGGUAAA